AGUGAAUAUGUUGUUGUGUAUAAAAGUAAACAACGAAGCUAUUGUUUUAACCAUUAGACAAUUAUUAAAAUUAAAUGAAAAACUAUGAGUCCCUUUCAAUAAAUCAAACUUUCAUGCCAAAUAAUUAGCAAAUUUAAGGUGGUUUUUUUUUUCAGUAAUGUUUAAACAGCAUUAAACAAACAAUCCUGUAAAAGACUUAACUGGUUAAAUAAUGCAUAAAAAUAUCCAAUAAGGCUAUUUUAUUUUUUUCUGGGACGCCUUCCUAAGACGUUCGUAGGAAGGCUUCCUAAGAAGGCGUCCCAGAAAAAAAUUAACAUAAGCCUUGUGGUCAUAGGAAGGUGUCCCAGAAUAAAAUUUAAAAAGCCU
rnacentral:lncRNA from 1 species